GACGAACGCUGGCGGCGUGCUUAACACAUGCAAGUCGAACGGUGACGAGGAGCUUGCUCCUCUGAUCAGUGGCGAACGGGUGAGUAACACGUGAGCAACCUGCCCCAGACUCUGGGAUAACAGUUGGAAACAGCUGCUAAUACCGGAUACGAGACGGAGAGGCAUCUCUACCGUCUGGAAAGUUUUCGGUCUGGGAUGGACUCGCGGCCUAUCAGCUAGUUGGUGAGGUAAUGGCUCACCUAAGGCGACGACGGGUAGCCGGCCUGAGAGGGCGACCGGCCACACUGGGACUGAGACACGGCCCAGACUCCUACGGGAGGCAGCAGUGGGGAAUAUUGCACAAUGGGCGAAAGCCUGAUGCAGCGACGCCGCGUGAGGGAUGACGGCCUUCGGGUUGUAAACCUCUUUCAGCAGGGAAGAAGCGAAAGUGACGGUACCUGCAGAAGAAGCACCGGCUAACUACGUG
rnacentral:rRNA from 1 species